GACGAAGGGGGCAAGCGUUGUUCGGAAUUACUGGGCGUAAAGGGCGCGUAGGCGGUUCUUUAAGUCAGGCGUGAAAGCCCUGGGCUCAACCUGGGAGUGGCGCUUGAUACUGGAGGACUAGAGAGUGGGAGAGGUUGGUGGAAUUCCCAGUGUAGAGGUGAAAUUCGUAGAUAUUGGGAAGAACACCGGUGGCGAAGGCGGCCGACUGGACCAUUUCUGACGCUGAGGCGCGAAAGCGUGGGGAGCAAACAGG
rnacentral:rRNA from 1 species